GAUAAUAGGUUAUUUUUGACGGCUUCGACAACCGCUUAUCAAAAAUUGGCGCCGUUGCCGGGGAAUUGAUCUAACUAACGUAUUUUCCUUUUGUGACCAGGGCUGAUAGUAAAGAAGCUCUUCUUUACGAUCCUGAAAUUGAACGCACUGCCAAGACCUUACAAGCAUGGCUACGGUAAGUAUGUCUUUUCUCUCUUCUCAAAUUUCUGAACUAACCUCUAUGGUGAGAAAUUAUGGUAUAGGUCAAGCCCAACAACUUCAACAAGCACAUGCAGGAUUCUAUGGACAGCCA
rnacentral:lncRNA from 1 species